rnacentral:rRNA from 1 species
AUUGAACGCUGGCGGCAGGCCUAACACAUGCAAGUCGAACGAGUGGCGGACGGGUGAGUAAUGUCUGGGAAACUGCCUGAUGGAGGGGGAUAACUACUGGAAACGGUAGCUAAUACCGCAUACCAUCGGAUGUGCCCAGAUGGGAUUAGCUAGUAGGUGGGGGAAAGGCUCACCUAGGCGACGAUCCCUAGCUGGUCUGAGAGGAUGACCAGCCACACUGUGACUGAGCCACGGUCCAGCUUCCUACGGGAGGCAGCAGUGGAGAAUCUUGCACAAUGGGCGCAAGCCUGAUUCAGCCAUGCCGCGUGUAGUAAGAAAGCCUUCGGGUUGUAAAGUACUUUCAGCGGGGAGGCGUUACCCGCAGAAGAAGCACCGGCUAACUCCGUGCCAGCAGCCGCGGUAAUAC